GUGAAAAUAGCUCAGUGGUAGAGUGCAGGUUUGUGGGACCAAGGGUCGAGAGUUCAAAUCUCUUUUUUCACU
rnacentral:tRNA from 1 species